UACGUAGGGGGCAAGCGUUGUCCGGAAUCAUUGGGCGUAAAGCGCGCGUAGGCGGCCCGGUAAGUCCGCUGUGAAAGUCAAAGGCUCAACCUUUGAAUGUCAGCGGAUACUGCCGGGCUAGAGUCCGGAAGAGGCGAGUGGAACUCCUGGUGUAGCGGUGGAAUGCGCAGAUAUCAGGAAGAACACCAACGGCGAAGGCAGCUCGCUGGGACGGUACUGACGCUGGAGACGCGAAAGCGUGGGGAGCGAACAGG
rnacentral:rRNA from 1 species